UUGAUGCUGCAGAGUGCGAUUUGAUUAGAAUCCCUUGGCCCAAUUUUUACUCUCGGGAGCCGUCACUGUCAUAACCUUGGUUAUGUUACAUGGCACCCACCUGGCUUUAUGGCCACGAGAGGAUCAAAAAUCUACCGGCUCAGGCGGCAUCACU
rnacentral:other from 1 species